rnacentral:sRNA from 1 species
UAUUCUGCCCCAUGGGGAAGGAUGAGAAGCUUCGACUAAGGUUCGACUCGAGCGAAGCGAGAGAACGUUGCCGCAGGCAACGGCCC